AUUCCUGCAGCAAAGUGCGGGCACUCUUGCUCGUUAUAACUAUACUAAAAUGCAAACAAAGUGAGGACAAACAAAAUGAAUAGUGACCGGACCUUUUUGCCCUUCUUUGGUUAUAGGAAUUGCAUAGGCCACGUAUUGCUUUGCUGAGAUACCACUGCUUUUCAUUUGUCGCGUGUCUUCGUUUUAGCAGAAACAGAUACUCUCAUAGAGAUAGAAAGGUGUUUGUUUGGGAACUUUGGGUUGUUUGCAUGAUCUGUGAAGAAAGGGGGAGGCCAGUCGGAUUUGUAGUUCUCUGUAUUUGCAGUUGUUUCCAGUUUCAUUUGUAGUUUGGUGUUUAUAAAGGCUUAGCUACUGCAGUGUUUAUUAAGGCAAGUCAGUUUGUGUUUCCUUUGUGAAGUGAGAGCAUCGCUACUAAAAUCAGACAAGAGGAAGGAGUUAAUAUCAUAAGGUGGAGUUGAUAAUGAGUGCAUGAACAAUUUACUUGGAUGUGAAUUGCAAGCUGGGACAAGUAAAAUUGACCAAGCCUCAUAUCAAAAAAGUAUUCAAGGGACUGUGCAUGAUUACAGAGAUGUUGGGGACAAGAUAUAUUGUUGUUAUUAUUGGAGAAAUGAAUCAAAGAAACAGAGCAGCAAGAAUAAACCGCCAAUUUUUAAGAAGCCAGCAUGGACUGUGACUUGAUGUAAAUAGCUACUCGUCUUCACAUGUUUUAGCCAAGCCUAACCAUUUUUGGCACAAUGUACAUAAACAACUACUUCGCUGGCAUCUGUAUUUUGGGAAAUCUGGCAGAGACACCACAUUUGCAAUCUGGAGAAGGCACCAGAUUUUUGGUUAGCAUCUGUAUCCUUUAACAUCUGCCUAUAAUGUAGUAUAUCUAUAACAUAGAACAAUGUGUAAUAUAGUUUUACUAUAUGUAAUAUGUAAUAUAUCUAGAACAUAGUUUCGAUGUAAAAUUCAACCAUAUCAAUAGUAUACCCGCAGCACUGCACGGGCCUUCUGCCUAGUUGUGUACUAAAUUCUAAAGUUAAUGGAAAAGUAUG